rnacentral:lncRNA from 1 species
CAUGCCUCCUCUCAUCAUUUUCUUUCUUUCCAUGCCCAAAUGCUGGGUGCUCUCUCUUCCACAUGCCAAGAAAAAGUAUUGGUGACUUAUAGAUCAAAGAUCAAGGAGAAGAAGAAGAAGACUGCAGAUCGAGGAGAAGAAGAAGAAGGCUACAGAUCGAGGAGUUGAUCUCACAGCUAAGAUCAAAGGAGUUGAUCAAAGUCUUCAAGGCUCAAGUUCUUCUUGAGAAGAAAAAUCUUCUACA